GGUGGCUUAGUGGGAGAGCGCUUGCCUUGCAUGCAUGAGGUCCUGGGUUCAAUUCCUCAGCACCA
rnacentral:tRNA from 1 species